GUGGUUUGCAUCUUGAGGGGAAACCGUCUGUAUUUACAUUCAUGAAGGCGUCUCUUGAUUGUGGACUUUGACACUCCUCCAGAGUGUUCUUGUCUUGCCUAGGUGUUGUGAAGGGUUUUUCUUCAACAAGGGAAUAAUUCUGCAAUCAUCCACUUUGGUUGACUUCUGUGGUCUUUUUCUCCAAGCCUUUUGGUGUUGCUGAGCUCGCCAUUGCAUUCCUUCUUUUUAAGAAUGUUUAUUUGGCCACUCUUCAAUUUUCUGCUAUCUCUCUGAUAGGUCUGUUUUUGUUUUUUCAGCCUAAUGAGAGCCUCCUUCACUUGCAUCGACACCUCUUUGGACUGCAUAUUGAGAGUUCUCAUGAGCAGUUACCAAGUGCAAAUUCAACACUGAAUCAACUCCAGAGCUUUUAUCUCCUUAAUUUGUCACGAAAUAAUGCUACACUAGCCACACCUGGCCAUGAAACUGCUUGGAUGUAAUUGGAUGUAAUGGCUGUAAUUCCUAAAUGAAUAUUUUUGUUAAACUCCUUGAAUUAUAGCUGAAAGUGUACGCUUCAAUCACAUCUUGAUUGCUUCAUUUCAAAUCCAUUUUGGUGGUGUACAGAGGCAAAAUUACCAAAAUUCGGUCACUGUCCAAAUACUUAUGGACCUGACUGCAUAGCAAGUGCUCUGAAAAAGUAUUUGAUUUCUUCUGUUUUUGUGUAUAUUUCAUACUAAAUUGUUUCAGAAAUGAAAACAAAAUAUAAGAUAAAGCAAAGGCAACGUAAGUAAACACAAAAUACAGAUUUUAAACGAUAAUGUUAUUUAUUGAAGCAGAAAAAUUAUCCAAUACCAACUGGGUCUGUGUGAAAAUGUAUAGUUGCUAAAGUGUAUAGUUACUACCCAAUAGUUACUAAUUCCCCAAAUCUAUGAAACUACAGUUAUAAUGGGGUUCAGCUCGACUAGACACAACCAGGCCUGAUUACUGCAAACACUGUUUUUCAACAGCAUGAAGUUGGAUAAAAGGUCUUACCCAGUAACACACUCUGCCAAAAUGGAAAGAAAUUCCAGAACCGAUGAGGAAGAAGGUGAUUUAAAUACAUCAGUCUGGGUUAGGGUUAGAAAUUGUUACAAAGCUUUGUCAAAGGCUCUGGGACUCCAUUAUUUCCAAAUGGAAAAACUCAGCACAGUAGUGAACCUUCCCAGAAGUGUCCGACCUUCCAAAAUUCCUCCAAGAGCACAGCAACGACUCAUCCAGGAAGUCACAAAAGAGCCAAGAACAACAUCAAAGGAGCUACAGGCCUCUCGUGCAUCAAUAAAGGUCACUGUUCAUGACUCCACUAUCAGAAAGACACUGGGGGAAAAUGUCAUCCAUGGAAGAGUGGUGAGGUGAAAACCACUGCUAACCCAGAAGAACAUUAAGGCUCGUCUGAAUUUCGCCAAAACACACCUUGAUGAUCCUCAACCCUUUUGGGAGACUGUUCUGUGGACUGAUGAGUCGAAAGUGGAACUGUUAGGAAGACAAAAGUCCUGUUAAAUAAUAGGCAUGGUGUUAUUACAUGCUCUGUCAUUUAUGUGCUUCAGGGGAGGAUAUUCUGUAUACCUGUCAUCAUAAAAGAAUGGCGACGGCCCAAGAGGUUUCUUUCUCUUUUUUUUUUGUUUUGUUUUGUUCUCUGAACAUGUCAGAGAAGCAACUUGUCAGCGGAGAUGUUCUUCUUGUCCUCGCUCUCACACUUCUUUUAUUGUCUUGCUUUCCAUUCUCUUCCCAAUGGGACCAUGGAAGUGCAGUUGCAAAUAAAAGAGAAGGGAGAGCUUUUUGAAGUUAAUCUUCAUUCAGGUGCUUCGUGUUCACAUGGAAAC
ensembl:lncRNA